rnacentral:lncRNA from 1 species
UAUAUACCAUACUGUAUACCCUAUUUUACUUAUAAAGUUAUUAAUCUGUAAAGUAAUUUGUAAAAAAUUUUCAAUUGUAAAAUUGCUACAUGAGAAGACAAGUUGUUAGAUGAAAUUCAAAUAUUCUCUAUGUUUGUGUUGUGUAGGUCAAAAAAUAAUAGAUGAAGAUGAUAUUGAUUGUGAUGACUAAGACUUCAUUUUAAGACACAUCAAUCUUUAUCAUUUUUAAAUAAAAAGGAUAAACAUUAUGGAUUUCCAUUAUCUCAAGCAAAAACAAAGAGUUCAAAAUAUUGGUGGUAAGAACUGUCAAAAACUUGUGAUAGCUAUGAUGAAGAGUUUUAUGACAAAUUCACUCAUGGCCAAAUCUAAUAUGGCAGCUGGAAAAAGCAAAGGAUCUUUUUAGUCUAACCAAGCUAUACAACUUAAUAAAAGUUUGUGCAUCGACUUCUCACGAAUCAUACACAGAGUCGAUUGUCGAUGCAAUAAUUACUGUUUCGUGAAAGCGGGCAACUUUUGCUUGUCUUAAAGUGCCUUAAAUCCAACAGAUAUCAUCGUUAUAAUAUUACUUUGUUUGUAAAUUGUUUUAAAAAAUAAAUUUAAAAAUAACUUUAAAA